rnacentral:rRNA from 1 species
AUCCCUGGCUCAGGAUGAACGCGGGCGGCGUGCCUAAUACAUGCAAGUCGAGCGAAUGGAUUAAGAGCUUGCUCUUAUGAAGUUAGCGGCGGACGGGUGAGUAACACGUGGGUAACCUACCCAUAAGACUGGGAUAACUCCGGGAAACCGGGGCUAAUACCGGAUAAUAUUUUGAACUGCAUAGUUCGAAAUUGAAAGGCGGCUUCGGCUGUCACUUAUGGAUGGACCCGCGUCGCAUUAGCUAGUUGGUGAGGUAACGGCUCACCAAGGCGACGAUGCGUAGCCGACCUGAGAGGGUGAUCGGCCACACUGGGACUGAGACACGGCCCAGACUCCUACGGGAGGCAGCAGUAGGGAAUCUUCCGCAAUGGACGAAAGUCUGACGGAGCAACGCCGCGUGAGUGAUGAAGGCUUUCGGGUCGUAAAACUCUGUUGUUAGGGAAGAACAAGUGCUAGUUGAAUAAGCUGGCACCUUGACGGUACCUAACCAGAAAGCCACGGCUAA